UUUGCAUCAUUAGGUUUUCUUGUAGGAGUAGAGUUCCUUGUGCUACAUGGGUUCUCAUCAGAAUCUGAGUGCUUUGAUGUUUGGACGCAUAUAAUGAAGUAAUUUGGGUUGUAGUGUUAUUACAUAGGCCCACACAAGUUUUCCCUUUUUUUGUUAAGCUAGCUCAUAGAAUCUUUUAGAGGAAAUAGGGAAUGAUGAGAAUCAAGGCAUAUCCAAAUAUUCC
rnacentral:lncRNA from 1 species